UACAGAGGGUGCGAGCGUUAAUCGGAAUUACUGGGCGUAAAGCGUGCGUAGACGGUUUCGUAAGUCGGGUGUGAAAUCCCCGGGCUCAACCUGGGAAUUGCAUUCGAAACUGCGAGGCUAGGGUACGGAAGAGGGAAGCGGAAUUUCUGGUGUAGCGGUGAAAUGCGUAGAUAUCAGAAGGAACAUCAGUGGCGAAGGCGGCUUCCUGGUCCAGUACCGACGUUCAGGCACGAAAGCGUGGGGAGCAAACAGG
rnacentral:rRNA from 1 species